rnacentral:rRNA from 1 species
GUCGAGUGCGCAGUUUUCUGUAGCAAUACAGAAAGCGGGCGCUCGGCGCACGGGUGCGUAACACGUGGGCAAUCUGCCCUUUGAUGGGGAAUAACCCGCCGAAAGGCGGGCUAAUACCGCAUAACAUCCCAGUCGCUUCGGCGAUAGGGAUCAAAGCCCGCAAGGGCGUCAUUGGAGGGGCCCGCGGCCGAUUAGCUGGUUGGUAGGGUAACGGCCUACCAAGGCUUGGAUCGGUAGCCGGUCUGAGAGGACGAUCGGCCACACUGGAACUGAGACACAGUCCAGACUCCUACGGGAGGCAGCAGUGGGGAAUCUUGCGCAAUGGGCGAAAGCCUGACGCAGCGACGCCGCGUGGGGGAUGAAGCUUCUCGGAGUGUAAACCCCUUUCGACCCGGACGAAUCACCCGCAAGGGUAUUGACGGUACGGGGAGAAGAAGCCCCGGCUAACUACGUGCCAGCAGCCGCGGUAAGACGUAGGGGGCCAGCGUUGCUCGGAAUUACUGGGCGUAAAGGGUUCGUAGGCGGUGCGGUAAGUCGAGAGUGAAAUCUCCAGGCUCAACUUGGAGGCCCCUCCCGAAACUGCCCGCUCGAGUGCUGGAGAGGCGAGUGGAAUUGCAGGUGUAGCGGUGAAAUGCGUAGAUAUCUGCAGGAACACCAGUGGCGAAGGCGGCUCGCUGGACAGCACUGACGCUGAUGAACGAUAGCUAUGGGAGCAACAGGAUUAGAUACCCUGGUAGUCCUAGCCCUAACGAUCAGGUCUUGAGGGAGCCCGUUCGGGUUUGUCUCGUGCCACGCAUAGACUGCGCCUGGGAGUACGUCGCAGAUGAACUCAAGGAAUGACGGGGG